AUUGAACGCUGGCGGCAGGCCUAACACAUGCAAGUCGAGCGGAUGAAGGGAGCUUGCUCCUGGAUUCAGCGGCGGACGGGUGAGUAAUGCCUAGGAAUCUGCCUGGUAGUGGGGGAUAACGUCCGGAAACGGGCGCUAAUACCGCAUACGUCCUGAGGGAGAAAGUGGGGGAUCUUCGGACCUCACGCUAUCAGAUGAGCCUAGGUCGGAUUAGCUAGUUGGUGGGGUAAAGGCCUACCAAGGCGACGAUCCGUAACUGGUCUGAGAGGAUGAUCAGUCAGCCUGGAACUGAGACACGGCCCACACUCCGACGGGAGGCCGCAGUAGGGAAUAUUAGGCGAUGGGCGAAAGCCUGAUCCAGCCAUGCCGCGUGUGUGAAGAAGGUCUUCGGAUUGUAAAACACUUUAAGUUGGGAGGAAGGGCAGUAAGUUAAUACCUUGCUGUUUUGACGUUACCAACAGAAUAAGCACCGGCUAACUUCGUG
rnacentral:rRNA from 1 species